ACGUAUGGUGCAAGUGUUAUCCGGAUUUACUGGGUGUAAAGGGAGCGUAGACGGAGUGGCAAGUCUGAUGUGAAAACCCGGGGCUCAACCCCGGGACUGCAUUGGAAACUGUCAAUCUAGAGUACCGGAGAGGUAAGCGGAAUUCCUAGUGUAGCGGUGAAAUGCGUAGAUAUUAGGAGGAACACCAGUGGCGAAGGCGGCUUACUGGACGGUAACUGACGUUGAGGCUCGAAAGCGUGGGGAGCAAACAG
rnacentral:rRNA from 1 species